CCUGGGGAGCGAAUGUGCCUUCCUGCCUGUUGAGAGUGUGACUUUCGGCCCCGACGUUCCCCAGACAUGACUGAGUCAGCUGUUCACACUAGGAAGCAUGAGAGAUGGGACAGAAGACACAACAGCUUGGUCUCCGACUCCAUCCGGAACCUUCCAUGGCUCUGUCGCUUCAGGAGGAAAUCCAGACUCCUGUCCUGUCUUAUCCCGAACCCGCCCUCGGCAGUGAUUCCUCCCCUGUCAGGCAGCUAAGGUGGCCCGACCCUGCUUGCAGAGUAUGUCCAAGCCCCUGUCUAGAACAACCCUGUGUUAUCAUAUCUGUCUACGCUGCGCUUGUCUCUGUUGUGCGUGGGGCGAAGGCUCUUGGGCUUGACGGAAACCCAGAGGAGCCGGUUGCAUCGAGAGCUGCUGUGACACCUGCAAUGCUGAGCUGUCUGCCUGUGAUAACCCAAGCGAGCAGCUCAGGGAUCAGGACCUGAGGUUUUCAGCACAAACGACAAGAGGUUCAAGUAGAAAAGCAGAAGCGGAACAUGCAAUAUGCAGCCCGUGCCUGGCUUCCCUCACUCAGCUUGACGAAAUCACGGAGCAGAUUGUUCUCAAGGAGGCCCCCGUGGUGUUUUCCGGAGCUCCUCUGCCAGGUCUCCCGUCGCGGCAGGGUCCACGUCGCCCCUCCCCUUGGCUCUGGGUUGGCCUUGUCACCAACGUAGGUGAUGGGGCCACAUGGUGCCACCUGCUCCCUCUGCACACCUCUGGGCCCACCAGGUCCUAGUGGGCAGGCAUCUGCUGCGGGGGCUCUGGUGUGGGUGGAAACACUGGGUCCCCCCAGGCUCCUCCUCAUCCCCUGCUCCCAACUUCUUCCUCCAUCCCCCAACAGCCCUCAGAGCUCAAGGGAGGGGGCAUUGACAAAGGGUCUCCACCAGCCUGGUCCUCUUAGCUUUUCUGGUCUAUGAGCUCAGGCAAAAUGGCCAGGCAGGCCCCAGGCCAGCUCAGCCCAGCUUAGCCCAGUCCACUCUAGCUUAGUUCAGCCUAGCCCAGUGCAACCCUGUUCACCUCAGUUCAGCCCAGCCAAGCUCAUCCGGCUACGCCCCUCAAGCCCCUAGGCCAGCAGCAGCCUACAGCCGCAGACCCACGGUUAGG
ensembl:lincRNA